GACAGGCUUAGCUAUGACUAAAAGUGUUGCUGGGUGUAAGACUAUGGAGGAUACAUCUGUAUUCAACUUAGGGCAAGAGAGCAUCAAGCUUCAGGAAGGAGAGAUUAUGAUUGUUUUACUUGCUUUCAGAUAAUGGAUUCUCUCACUUCUUUUCUUUUCUUUUCUUUUCCUUUUCUUUCUCUCUCUCUCUCUCUCUCUCUCUCUCUCUCUCUCUCUCUGUCACAUCUAUAUAGAUAUCCAUUCAUAUAUCCAUACAGGAAAGAAGGAAGGAAGGAAGGAAGGAAGGAAGGAAGGAAGGAAGGAAGGAAGGAAGGAAAGAAGGAAGGAAGGAAGGAAGGAAGAUACCCCAAGUAUAAAUGGAUUCAAGCUACUUGGAAUUUGGUCUACGGAGAUUAACAGCUUGCACAUUAAUUCAAAGCACCAACAGCCCACCUAACCUAAUGCCGUUUUAAAUGAAUUAAAAGCCCUGUUUAGGAAACUUUAAUACUUUAAUAUACUUUAAAUGAAGGAAAUGUGCAUCUAUAUUUUUAUUCAGUUUAUAAAAACCAAAUUCAGUUUGCUUAUUUUGCUUGUUCAAACAUACUCCAGGGAGGAACUUUCUUUAUCUUCAGGCAUUACUUCUCUUGAAAAUGAAAUAUCUUCUAAGCUUGAAAGCACAGUCUGAGUGGAACUAAUUGUAAAGUGGGGGUGGUAGUGGGGAGAGAGAGGCAGCGUGAGUAGAAAGACCAUGUUCAGGUAGAGGGAAAAAAUUCAAUUUCAAUGUAUUGUCCCUUUUUAUAUCUUUGACAUUAAAUGAAUGCCUUUAAACACACUGACAUUUUGUAAUAUUACAAAAUGAACGUGCAGAAUUGAGCAAUCAAUACAAACAGAUCAUCUAUAAAAAAGGCAAGGAAGCAUAUCACCAAACCUACAAGAAGGACUCACAGUUUGGGGGACCAGAAAAUGCUAGACCAUUGCAAUAACUUCCCUCCUGGUCUCCCCAUUUUCAGGUCUUUUAGCUCUAUCUUCUUAAAGCAGGGUUCAGCCCACAUAAAUCGCUUCCUUACAAACCUUCCAGCACUUUCUGUUAACUGCCUACUGAAAUGAAAACCUCUCAGGCUGGGACUCAGUGAAGUUCCUCUGCAAUACAUCCCCAAUUCUCAUUUCCAUCCUUAUUUCCCAUUCUGUGCCUGUGGAAAGCAAAGGGUCAACCAAACUAGAUUAUAUGCUAUUUUGGGCAAAUACUUCUACAGUUUCCUUUCAAUUUGUCUUUGCUCAUAUCUAUUUCCUCUACUUGUCAACUCAUUAAUUUCCCCAGUAAGCAUGUAUGUUGAAUUAUCCCAAUUAAUUUAGGCAUGGAGGAAAAACAAAGAUGGAAGUUAAUUGCCUGCCCUCAAGAAGCUCAAAAUCUAAUGCAGGAGUGAAAGACAUGAACACCUUUAAAAUGAUGUGAGGGUACAAAGAGAGAAAGAGAAAUAGAGUCCAAACAGG
rnacentral:lncRNA from 1 species